rnacentral:tRNA from 1 species
GCUGGGGGUAUAGCUCAGUGGCAGAGUGCUUGCCUAGCAUGUAUGAGGCACUGGGUUUGAUCCUCAGCUCUGCA